UGGGGAAUAUUGCACAAUGGGCGCAAGCCUGAUGCAGCAACGCCGCGUGAACGAUGAAGGUCUUCGGAUCGUAAAGUUCUGUUGCAGGGGAAGAUAAUGACGGUACCCUGUGAGGAAGCCCCGGCUAACUACGUGCCAGCAGCCGCGGUAAUACGUAGGGGGCUAGCGUUAUCCGGAUUUACUGGGCGUAAAGGGUGCGUAGGUGGUCUUUCAAGUCGGUGGUUAAAGGCUACGGCUCAACCGUAGUUAGCCUCCGAAACUGGAAGACUUGAGUGCAGGAGAGGAAAGUGGAAUUCCCAGUGUAGCGGUGAAAUGCGUAGAUAUUAGGAGGAAUACCGGUGGCGAAGGCGACUUUCUGGACUUGAACUGACGCUGAGGCACGAAAGCGUGGGGAGCAAACAGG
rnacentral:rRNA from 1 species